rnacentral:rRNA from 1 species
UACGGAGGGUGCAAGCGUUAUCCGGAUUCACUGGGUUUAAAGGGUGCGUAGGCGGGUAAGUAAGUCCGUGGUGGAAUCUCUGAGCUUAACUCAGAAACUGCCGUGGAUACUAUUUGCCUUGAAUAUUGUGGAGGUGAGCGGAAUAUGUCAUGUAGCGGUGAAAUGCUUAGAUAUGACAUAGAACACCAAUUGCGAAGGCAGCUCACUACACAAUCAUUGACGCUGAGGCACGAAAGCGUGGGGAUCAAACAGG